GCCCGGCUAGCUCAAUCGGUAGAGCGUGAGACUCUUAUGAAGAUACUUCAUAGAGAAUCUCAAGAGAUCAUCUCAAGGCUGGGGGUUCGACCCCCACGUCGGGCU